rnacentral:rRNA from 1 species
UACGUAGGGGGGCAAGCGUUGUCCGGAUUUAUUGGGCGUAAAGAGCGUGUAGGCGGCCAUGUAGGUCCGUUGUGAAAAACUCGAGGCUCAACCUCGAGACGCCGAUGGAAACCAUGUGGCUAGAGUCCGGAAGAGGAGAGUGGAAUUCCUGGUGUAGCGGUGAAAUGCGCAGAUAUCAGGAAGAACACCCCGUGGCUAAGGCGGCUCUCUAGUACGGUACUGACGCUGAGACGCGAAAAGCGUGGGGGAGCAAAACAGG